UUUCAGCGAGAACAAAAUAGACGAACUAAGGAAACCUGUUGUAUGGAGGAAAGUAAUAUUCAAGGACCUGAAAGACAGUCUAGAGACCGUCUAGACCAUAGAGAUAGUCUAGGAAAUUCCACUGUUAUGUAUAAUCCCAACAUUUAUGGUACAAGUUGCCUUUUGCAAAUAGCAACCAUAUGCCCCAGUUUACCUGGAGAACGAAAACAGAACAACUAAAGAAACCUGUUGUAUGGAGGAAAGUCAAUUUCAAGAACCUGAAAAACCAUCUAGAGACCGUCUAGACCGUAGAGAUCGUCUAGGAAAUUCCACUGCUGAAGUACUGGUCUUGCUCAGAAAUGGUCAUCAACUUCAGUAAAAUAUCGUCAAAACGGAUUAGUCAUUUCCAAAGGACGAGCUUGCGAAGGAAGUCAUCGCACAAAGGGGCAUAAUUCAUCUAGGCAAGAAAUAAAGAAGUGGUCAUAAUUUAAAAUCAAAAUUUUAUUUAGAAAUGUAAUUAUAUUGUGCUUUAUGUGAAGAGUGCUUAUUGUAGUCAAUGUUACACAUUAUAACCCAAAUUUUAAUUAUGA
rnacentral:misc_RNA from 1 species